rnacentral:tRNA from 1 species
GUCUCUAUGGCUCAGUCGGUAGAGCGUUGGUCUCAUAUUACUUCAUCAAUAUGACUCUCCUCCAAGAAGAGAUAUCCAAAGGUCGCAAGUUCGAGCCUUGCUAGGGACA